UAUAAUUCAUACAUUUAUGUACAAAAAAAAUCAACAAUGCUUUACAGGUUUUUUAACUAUCUAUCAAUGGUUUUCAGGUACAGAAAUUGAACGUAGUAAUCAAAUAUAAAAUAACUGUAUAUAAACUUAUUUGAAUAAUUAAAUAAAGAUGAAACAUUAAGUUACAAAAGCUAUUCAGUCAAGUCAUCUUUUGUCUUUAGAUUAACAUUAAAAAAGAGAGCAGGAAUAUUAGACUGCUGUCCCUUAAGACAUAACCUACUUUUGUUAGGAUACUCGCUAAGAUGGGAAUGUUGACAAUUUUUGUGUGAAUUUGUCCGUUUAGGUGCAAGACUUGCGUGAGAGUAUUUGUGCGCUGUGACGCGGCUCUCCAUGAACGUGCUUCGGCUUAGCGCACACACAAAUCUCCUCACAGAGCGUGCGAGUUCUCUUUCGCGUCUUACGGAUGAAUGUUUAAAUUGGCAAGUUUUAAAUUAGUUUAGUUUAAACAAAGAACGAUUCCUAACAGCAACAAACACAGGACAAAUCCAAACAUUAUCCUGAACGUGUGUGAAAACAACGUGAAUGUACUGAAAAGUGUCCGUGCUGAAAUGUGUCUGUGCAUAAAUACAAUGUGCGAUCAGUGCGUCGAGAGUGCUCAUACAUGAUUUGUUUGCCCAUCAAUAUAACAGACUCACGCGUGCUUCUGCACGUCACCGCAAUCGUCUUUACUUUGAUUGUUAUCCUCAUCAAUCAAAACUUUCAUAUCAAGAAGCUGGUUUGCUUUAUCCAGCCGAGAAACAUAGUUUUCAUAUCAUCUGGCCAUACAGUGAUGGGAUGUUUUGACGUUCCGUUCAGACAGGAACAGCGCGAGGCAGGAGGGCUCACCCUCUUCAGAUACAAUGACACAAUAUGACAGAGUUCGUGUUUUAAAGCGAAACAGACACUGGAAUGAAUAAUUCUCUCUGCCAUCUCUGAUAUAAUCAGCAUGGACUUUUAAGGAACACUCCACUUUUUUUUGAAAACAGGCUCAUUUUCCAACUCCCCUAGAGUUAAACAGUUGAGUUUUACCGUUUUCAAAUCCAUUCAGCCGAUCUCUGGGUCUGGCAGUACCACUUUUAGCAUAGCUUAGCAUAGUUCAUUGAAUCUGAUUAGACCGUUAGCAUCUCGCUCAAAAAUGACCAAAGAGUUUCGAUAUUUUUCCUAUUUAAAACUUGACUCUUCUGUAGUUACAUCAUGUAUUAAGACCGACGGAAAAUGAAAAGUUGUGAUUUUCUAGGCCGAUAUGUCUAGGAACUAUACUCUCAUUCCGGCGUAAUAAUCAAGGAACUUUGCUGCCAUACCAUGGGUGCAGCAGACGCAAUGAUAUUGCACAGCGUCUCUUUAUCGAAACUCUUUGGUCAUUUUUGAGUCGUGUGCAUUUGAUCGUUUAAGUGCAGGAGAACUGAAUUGGGUGCAGACCUAGCACAACACAUUAACAUGGUUUUAAGAUUUCAGAGAGCAAAGAGUGAAAAUAAACAUAUUUAAGACAUUUUAAUUAAAACACAUAUUCAAUACAUUUUAAGGAUACACAGACACCCUGUGUUAGUAACCUGAUGUACACUGGAAUUCCAGGACGGGUGAGGCUGUAAUACUCUGAGUUAGUAUUAAUGAUCCUGUGUUAGAGCAGCGUACACCUGAGAAGGACGGUCAGAGUGUAUAGAUGCUAAAGACCUGUGUGCUCAUGUGUGAUUGAGGUAGUGAUAGUAGCUUCUUGACGGGACGCCGUCACCUUACUUCGGGAGGGGAAUUACCUCAAAGUAUUGGAAAUGUAUUAGAAGUAUUCGAGAAGGGAAUUACCUCGAUACUGUAGUAUUAUAUUGUAUUAUAUUCGGGACGGGAAUUACCUCGAAGGUACUGUUGUACUGUAUUGGUACUGUAGUAUUGUCUUAUAUUAUAUUGACAACUGGAGGUUGUUUGAAUUAUCAGUGGUGAAGUCAGAUUAGUAUUGGGAAUUUCCACGACAAGGUACAUAAAUCUUGCUGGGAGGGCAAUUAUCCAGAGCUGGAUUGUGAAGCAGCGCCUGCUCAACCUCCUCCAUAAUCUGCUAUCUCAAGGGGCCUACUUUUACAGAGGGGAAAACUAAAGGGUUCUGCUCUUGGGAGUGCAUUACAGAAUCAUGAAUGCGAGAGAGAGCAUCAGCUUUGCAGUUCUUUGAGCCAGACUGUAGGUAAUAAAAAAAUCUACUCUAGUGAAAAAGAGCGCUCACCUAGCUUGAGCCUUUUGGCUGACCCCAAAGUUGCAACGAUCAGUUAAAACCAAAAACAGAUGUCUCACUCCCUCUGACCAGUGAUGCCAUUCCUCAAAGGUGGCUUUCAUGUCCAACAGUUCACAGUUGCUGACAUCGUAUUUGCGUUCCACUGAGGAGAGUGUUUUUGAGAAAGUUUUGCAUAGAGACCUGUGUCUGAAGCAUCCACCUCUACAACAAAAGGCAAAGCGGGAUCUGGAUGAUGCAGAGUAGGUGCUGAAGUACAGCAUGUCUCAAGUCAAAAAAGGCAAAGUGAUGCAACCAGAUUCCAGUUAAGUUUGCCUUUAUCCUCUCGUCCUUUGAGUAGUGUGGUAAGAGAUGCCGCUGCACUGUUGAAGCACUGGAUAAAUCUCCUAUAGAGGUUUGUGAACCCCAAAAAUCUCUGCAGUUCCUUAACAGUGGUGGGACAGGACCAUUCUAGUACUGCCUUUGCCUAGGAAUUAACCAUCUCCUCUCCUUGUCACAUACUCCAGGUAGGACAUAGAAGAGGAAUGAAACUCAAACUUCUCAGCCUUCACAGUUGAUGGUCUAUACUCAGAAUUUGGGGUAUUAGUAAUCUAGUGAAGUGGAUAAGAGAAGCAGCGACUAGUUUCUUGUCAGACUGUAUGAAUACAAUCCCCGCUGUAAGCCUUGUCACACUGUAAAAUCUCAGUUGUCAUUAUUGUCAUAUACAGUCAAGACUCGUUGAAAAAAAAAAAAAAAAAAACGAA